AGGGCUCUCAUCUCACCAGUCUCAUCAGCCAUCACAGCCCAGGAAGCAAGAGAGAGAAAACAAGAGUUAUUUACCUUUUUCUAAUUGGGAGCUGGGCAGCCCAGUUCAAAGCAGGAGAGCAGCAGCAUUUGUCAGGAGCGCUGGGAGGGAAGCAGUAAUUGCCUGGAAGCAGCCACAGAUGCAGGGCUCACUCCAGCUGCUGCUGCAUCGCUAAGAGGUAUUUCAUUCAUCACUGUAUCAUAUAGAAAGCCUGAGCUGAAUAAAACCUUCUGAAAGAAGAUGAGGAGACACACUCUGCCUUAUAGAUUAUUUUACAGUUACUGUAGCCAUUCUUUUUCUCUGCCUGCUUUACACAAACAUGGAAA